rnacentral:rRNA from 1 species
AUCAUGGAGAGUUUGAUCCUGGCUCAGAACGAACGCUGGCGGCGCGUCUUAAGCAUGCAAGUCGGACGGCAAGGGGGAGCAAUCCCCCCUAGAGUGGCGGACUGGUGAGUAACGCGUGGGUGACCUGCCCCGAGGCCGGGGAUAGCCGUUAGAAAUAGCGGGUAAUACCGGAUGAGCUGGAAGCGCUGCGGCGUUUUCAGGAAAGAAGCCAAGGCUUCGCCUCGGGAUGGGCCCGCGUCCCAUUAGCUAGUUGGGGGUGUAACGGACCACCAAGGCGGUGAUGGGUAGCCGGCCUGAGAGGGUGAACGGCCACACUGGGACUGAGAUACGGCCCAGACUCCUACGGGAGGCAGCAGCUAAGAAUAUUCCGCAAUGGGCGAAAGCCUGACGGAGCGACG